rnacentral:rRNA from 1 species
AUACGGAGGGUGCAAGCGUUAAUCGGAAUUACUGGGCGUAAAGCGUACGUAGGCGGUUCGUUAAGUUAGAUGUGAAAGCCCCGGGCUUAACCUGGGAACUGCAUUUAAAACUGGCGAACUAGAGUUGAGUAGAGGGGAGUGGAAUUUCAGGUGUAGCGGUGAAAUGCGUAGAGAUCUGAAGGAACACCAGUGGCGAAGGCGACUCCCUGGACUCAAACUGACGCUGAGGUACGAAAGCGUGGGUAGCAAACGGUAUUAGAAACCCUAGUAGUCC